rnacentral:rRNA from 2 species
CUUGCUUUUGGUGUUUCUAGCGGCGGACGGGUGAGUAACGCGUGAGCAAUCUGUCUCAGACAGGGGGAUAACGCAGCGAAAGUUGCACUAAUACCGCAUAAGACCACAGAGCCACAUGGCAUAGGGGUCAAAGGAGCAAUCCGGUCUGAGGUGAGCUCGCGUCCCAUUAGGUAGUUGGUGAGGUAACGGCCCACCAAGCCUGCGAUGGGUAGCCGACCUGAGAGGGCGGACGGCCACAUUGGGACUGAGACACGGCCCAAACUCC